UGAAGUUGGUAAAGUAUAAUGAUUCAACACCAAAGCAAGAUAAGUUCGAGUUUGAUUUUGUUUAUCCAAAUUACAAUAUUCUUUAACCUUCCUCAUACAAUAAUAUAUGUUCUUUCCAUGUAUACAACGAUUCUGCAGAAAGCUGGAGUUAUAACGUCAACAAUUACAGACAAAUAAAAGGAAACAGUGAUGACGUCUUAAUCGAAUGACUUGUCGCUGGAAGGUGUGGCUUAUGUCUUCUCAUACUAUUUGGAGAUGAGUAAGAUUGGUUUACUUUCACGGGUGUGAGAUUUUCACAAUGUUCGAUUACAGACGGUACCGUCCUGCAAAUGUAGGUAGUCCUCUUUCAAGCGUAGUAGUGGCAGGAGUAUGUUGGAAGCAAAUGUCCUCAUCUACAAUGGCAGAAUAUUACACGACAAAGUAAAUUGUGUGAAAGAAUAAUGGCUUCACAGGUACUAUAAAUUCUACAUGGAUUCUGACCGUAAUCUUCGCCAACAUAAAAAAGGAAUAAAAAUGAGAUGAAAGGGGUGAACUGAGUAUGGAUUCGACUUUGGAGUCAUAACAACCUUGAAGAAGUCCAAAAGAUGGUUUUCAUUCAGGUUGUCGGACAUGACAGAAACAAAUGGGGAAAGAGUUAAAUACGGAUCAUCAGAAACAGAGUCCAUCCUACUGACAAUGGUUUGAGUGAUGAAAGACAUCUUGUAACGAUGGGCAGUAGGCUUGAAUUGAUCAGUGGCGAUACUCAAACCAAAGUUCUCGACA